AGCGAACGCUGGCGGCAGGCCUAACACAUGCAAGUCGAACGAACCUUUCGGGGUUAGUGGCGGACGGGUGAGUAACACGUGGGAACGUGCCUUUAGGUUCGGAAUAACUCAGGGAAACUUGUGCUAAUACCGAAUGUGCCCUUCGGGGGAAAGAUUAAUCGCCGUUAGAGCGGCCCGCGUCUGAUUAGCUAGUUGGUUGAGGUAAUGGCUCACCAAGGCGACGAUCAGUAGCUGGUCUGAGAGGAUGAUCAGCCACAUUGGGACUGAGACACGGCCCAAACUCCUACGGGAGGCAGCAGUGGGGAAUCUUGCGCAAUGGGCGAAAGCCUGACGCAGCCAUGCCGCGUGAAUGAUGAAGGUCUUAGGAUUGUAAAAUUCUUUCACCGGGGACGAUAAUGACGGUACCCGGAGAAGAAGCCCCGGCUAACUUCGUG
rnacentral:rRNA from 1 species